rnacentral:rRNA from 1 species
UAUGGCCUUAGUGAGUCUCCACUCGUGCCGUGAGGUGUUGGGUUAAGUCCCGCAACGAGCGCAACCCCUAUGUUUAGUUGCCAGCAUGUAAUGAUGGGGACUCUAAACAGACUGCCAGCGUAAGCUGUGAGGAAGGUGGGGAAGACGUCAAGUCAUCAUGGCCCUUACGUCCGGGGCUACACCCGUGGUACAAUGGACGGUACAGCGGGCAGCUACAUAGCAAUAUGAUGCUAAUCUCUAAAAGCCGUUCACUGUUCGUAUUGAAGUCUGCUACUCGACCUCAUGAAGUUGGAUUCGCUAGUAAUCGAGUGUCAGCAAUGACGCGGUGCAUACGUUCCCGCGCCUUGUACACACCGCCCGUCGAGCCAUGAAAGUUGGGGGUACCUAAAGCACGUAACCGCAAGGCAGCGACUCAA